UCACGCAGCCGGAUCGAUGGAUCGAUCGUCGAGCCAGACGUGCACGUAGCUUCAAUUGUGAGAGACUCUCUCCGAGCCAGCGGAGAGUUUUGCCAACCGCUGGCGCAAAAAGAUCGUCACCUCGAAGAGACACACAGCCUUUACAUCGGCCGGCAGACGUUAGGGCGCAGCCAUACGCACACGAGCGAGCCGGAAAGUGUGUGUGGAUCGCGGUUACCGUGGGUCUUGGGGUAGGGCAGUGGAAAUUUCCACUGUGCCCGCUGGGACGGUCAAUACUCUCUCCGUGCCGUAACGUGCGCCGCACGGUUAUCCGGAUUACAGGGAGUUUCAUCGGCGACAGACCGCGCGCGCACCAUUACGGCUUCGCGCCGCCGGGCGGUCUAUGAAUUUUCGAUCAAAUGUGAUCUUGCAUCGGACCUCUCUCUCUCUCUCUGCACCGAGCACGAGUAUCUCUUAAGAUCCGGAUCGCUUGUACUCGAGUCGUUCUCUCUCUCGUGUAGCAAAAUGAAUCAGCUCUCCUCCGAACCUAUUCUGGCUCCGGGGUUGUCGCAACUGGCACGUUCCACCAGUUGGCCAAUCGUUGACGGACACGCUCGUACGAGGUGGACCGACACCAUGCGACACUAAAAUUAUAUUUCGCCGGGAAGCCAGUCUGUUUCACCGAAUACAACAAGCAGGUAACGCCUGCCCGAGACUCGAGUGCGCGAGAGGGAGUGCGUUGCAUGAGGCUAGCGACGGUCUCGACGCUGCUCGAAUAUCGUAUCGAACUCAGCACCAUCUCGACGUAGCCGGCAGGAAUCGGUCUCGAGCCAAGAUCGAGAGAAUGACGUUCGUGGAGAAAAAAUGUCCUGCAAAUUACUUGCAAAGGGAGAAAGCGUUCAUAUGACGAGUUAUGCGCGAUAUUAUGCUGCCUGUCGGCCUUCAAUUAUACAAAUGCAGGAUAAUUUAGUCACAAACAUGCGAGUGCCUCCGCAAAGACGUCAUUCCAGCAUUGCCCUCGUUACUCUCACGAUUACAUAUGAAGCACUAAAUUCAAGACGCCAGCUAAUUCCCGUAUAGCCGCACACACCACGCCGAUUAACGCUCGGCACAUCACCACGCAUAAAUAUACAAGAUUUACGCAUAUAAAAAAGCAUAUAAAAGAAAUUACACACUGUGGAACUUUGUGUUUUCCUGAAUAUCAAAUGAACUUCCGCAAACUAUGCGCGAUAUCAUGGAUGAUAGCAUAACAUAAUACGAAUGAUAUAACGUCUGUAUAAUUCGAGACGUAUAUUUCGAGACGAAUGAUAUAACGUCUGUAUAAUUCGAGACGUAAUGCGGUAAUUAUUAGGCUUUGCCUGUUACCUAACAAAACUGCAACGCCACUCAUCUCGUAAAUUACUCGCUUAUAUAGUGACGAACAAGAUUCUCGUACGUAUUAGUAUGAGUGAUCUUUUAGAAAAAGUCGACUUUUUAAUCUUGAAUCGGAAUAGCUAGAAUCAAUUUAUUUAAAAAAUCGGAC